GAGGGUGUAGCUUAGUGGUAGAGUGCAUGCUUAGCAUGCACGAGGUCCUGGGUUCAAUCCCCACUACCUCCA
rnacentral:tRNA from 1 species